rnacentral:rRNA from 1 species
GACGAACGCUGGCGGCGCGCUUAACACAUGCAAGUCGAGCGAGAACCAGGACUUCGGUCCUGGGGACAGCGGCGAACGGGUGAGUAACACGUGGAUAACCUGCCCUCGGGCACCGGGAUAGCCCGAGGAAACUCGGAUUAAUACCGGAUAGCCCUUCCGACUCUCGAGUCGGUCCGAAAAGGUAGCUUCGGCCUCUGGCCGGGGAUGGGUCCGCGGCGGAUUAGCUUGUUGGUGGGGUAACGGCCUACCAAGGCANCGAUCCGUAGCUGGUCUGAGAGGACGAUCAGCCACACUGGGACUGAGACACGGCCCAGACUCCUACGGGAGGCAGCAGUGGGGAAUCUUGCGCAAUGGGCGAAAGCCUGACGCAGCGACGCCGCGUGAGGGAAGAAGGCCUUC